rnacentral:lncRNA from 1 species
UUUCCUGUACCCUAAUAAGAUGCAUCCUAUGUUAAGAGUUUGGAGAUUGGAUUGCUGCAGAGUUUCACCCUCUCACACAUUGCUUGCCUUGGAAUGUGAGUGUAAUCACAAUGGAAACAUCUAUGAGAUGAGAGCCUAUUAAAUGGACUCGGACACGUAGCAACACUUACUAGUUCGUAUAAUAAUGUACCUGUUCUUUGGAGGAACUCAAGAGGAUAUGUACAUUUGCCUAAAUAAAGGAGGCCAGCAGUAAGUUCCAUUUGCAAGGCAAA